AUUGAACGCUGGCGGCAGGCCUAACACAUGCAAGUCGAACGAGUGGCGGACGGGUGAGUAAUGUCUGGGAAACUGCCUGAUGGAGGGGGAUAACUACUGGAAACGGUAGCUAAUACCGCAUACCAUCAGAUGUGCCCAGAUGGGAUUAGCGAGUAGGUGGGGUAACGGCUCACCUAGGCGACGAUCCCUAGCUGGUCUGAGAGGAUGACCAGUCACAAUGGAACUGAGACACGGUCCAGAAUCCGACGGGAGGCAGCAGUGGGGAAGAUGGCACAAUGGGCGCAAGCCUGAGGCAGCCAUGCCGCGUGUAUGAAGAAGGCCUUCGGGUUGUAAAGUACGUUCAGCGGGGAGGCGUUACCCGCAGAAGAAGCACCGGCUAACUCCGUGCCAGCCGCCGCGGUAAUUC
rnacentral:rRNA from 1 species